GCUGUUGAUGGCAUUAAUAAGAAGUCCAGCCCAUGCCCAUAUUACUAGUGGGUUGACAGAUAAAGGAGUGCCUUCUUUUAGUGCAUCCCCAAGGAGAAGCUUUGCUGUAAUGGAAGAAAUGCAUUAGCAGUCCUGUAACAAUAAAAGAGUG